ACGCACGCUGGCGGCGUGCUUAACACCUGCAGGUCGUACGGUAAGGCCCUUUCGGGGGUACACGAGUGGCGAACGGGUGAGUAACACGUGAGUAACCUGCCCACAACUUUGGGAUAACGCUAGGAAACUGGUGCUAAUACUGGAUAUGUGCUCCUGCUGCAUGGUGGGGGUUGGAAAGCUCCGGCGGUUGUGGAUGGACUCGCGGCCUAUCAGCUUGUUGGUGGGGUAGUGGCCUACCAAGGCGGCGACGGGUAGCCGGCCUGAGAGGGUGACCGGCCACAUUGGGACUGAGAUACGGCCCAGACUCCUACGGGAGGCAGCAGUGGGGAAUAUUGCACAAUGGGCGCAAGCCUGAUGCAGCAACGCCGCGGGCGGGAUGACGGCCUUCGGGUUGUAAACCGCUUUCAGCAGGGACGAAGCUUUUUGUGACGGUACCUGCAGAAGAAGCACCGGCUAACUACGUG
rnacentral:rRNA from 1 species